rnacentral:rRNA from 1 species
UACGUAGGGGGCAAGCGUUGUCCGGAUUCAUUGGGCGUAAAGAGCGUGUAGGCGGCCAGGUAGGUCGGUUGUGAAAACUGGAGGCUCAACCUUCAGAGGUCGACCGAAACCAUCUGGCUAGAGUCCGGGAGAGGAGAGUGGAAUUCCUGGUGUAGCGGUGGAAUGCGCAGAUAUCAGGAGGAACACCCAUAGCGAAGGCAGCUUGCUGGGACGUUACUGACGCUAAGGCGCGAAAGCGUGGGGAGCGAACAGG